AGUGUAUAAUUCAAGUGGACUUAGAAUCCACCUUACACAAAUUAAAUGUGAUACACUG
rnacentral:tRNA from 1 species